AGAGUUUGAUCAUGGCUCAGGACGAACGCUGGCGGCGUGCCUAAAACAUGCAAGUCGAACGGUCCUAGCAAUAGGAUAGUGGCGAACGGCGGAGUAAUACAUAAACAACGUGCCCUGAAGACCGGGAUAGUUACUGGAAACGGUGGGUAAUACCGGAUGUGGCUCUCAGAACUCAUGUGCUGAGAAUUAAAUGGUUUUUCGCUUCAGGAGCGGUUUGUGGCCUAUCAGCUAGUUGGUGGGGUAAUGGCCUACCAAGGCGACGACGGGUAGGGGGUCUGAGAGGAUGAUCCCCCCGAGUGGGACUGAGACACGGCCCACACACCUACGGGUGGCAGCAGUUGGGAAUCUUGCACAAUGGGGGAAACCCUGAUGCAGCGACGCCGCGUGGAGGAUGAAGGAUUUAGGUCUGUAAACUCCUUUUACAUGGAAAGACUUAGGACGGUACCAUGAGAAUAAGCACCGGCUAACUACGUGCCAGCAGCCGCGGUAAGACGUAGGGUGCAAGCGUUGUCCGGAUUUACUGGGCGUAAAGAGCGCGUAGGCGGUCUGUUAAGUGUGAAGUGAAAUCUCCAGGGCUCAACCCGGAAACUGCUUCGCAUACUGGCAGACUAGAGGGAUGCAGAGGUGAAUAGAAUUCCUGGUGUAGCGGUGACAUGCAUUGAUAUCAGGAGGAAUACCCAUGGCGAAGGCAGUUCACUGGGCAUCAUCUGACGCUGAGGCGCGAAAGCGUGGGGAGCAAACAGGAUUAGAUACCCUGGUAGUCCACGCCCUAAAC
rnacentral:rRNA from 1 species